rnacentral:rRNA from 1 species
AACUUUCAACAAUGGAUCUCUUGGUUCUGGCAUCGAUGAAGAACGCAGCGAAAUGCGAUAAGUAGUGUGAAUUGCAGAAUUCAGUGAAUCAUCGAAUCUUUGAACGCACAUUGCGCCCCAUGGUAUUCCGUGGGGCAUGCCUGUUCGAGCG